rnacentral:rRNA from 1 species
GACGAACGCUGGCGGCGUGCUUAACACAUGCAAGUCGAACGGAAAGGCCCUGCUUUUGUGGGGUGCUCGAGUGGCGAACGGGUGAGUAACACGUGAGUAACCUGCCCUUGACUUUGGGAUAACUUCAGGAAACUGGGGCUAAUACCGGAUAGGAGCUCCUGCUGCAUGGUGGGGGUUGGAAAGUUUCGGCGGUUGGGGAUGGACUCGCGGCUUAUCAGCUUGUUGGUGGGGUAGUGGCUUACCAAGGCUUUGACGGGUAGCCGGCCUGAGAGGGUGACCGGCCACAUUGGGACUGAGAUACGGCCAAGACUCAUACGGGAGGCAGCAGUGGGGAAUAUUGCACAAUGGGCGGAAGCCUGAUGCAGCAACGCCGCGUGCGGGAUGACGGCCUUCGGGUUGUAAACCGCUUUCGCCUGUGACGAAGCGUGAGUGACGGUAAUGGGUAAAGAAGCACCGGCUAACUACGUG